GAUGAAGAACGUAGCGAAAUGCGAUAAGUAAUGUGAAUUGCAGAAUUCAGUGAAUCAUCGAAUUUUUGAACGCACCUUGCACCCUUUGGCAUUCCGAAGGGUAUGCUCGUUUGAGUGUCAUUGUACUCUCACUCUACCGAUCUUUGGAUCGGGAGUGGUGGACUUGGGUGUUGCUGCUUUACCGUGGCUCACCUCAAAUGGAUUCGUGCAACUCCUGGUUGGACAUAGUACGGCGUGAUAAGUGUCUUCGCCGGCACCUCACUAGAGGGUGCCUGACCGGGAGCUCUGUGCUUCAAACCGUCUUCGGACAACAACUGACAACUUGACCUCAAAUCGAGUAGGACCACCCGCUGAACUUAAGCAUAUCAAUAAGCGGAGGA
rnacentral:misc_RNA from 1 species